CCUACGGGAGGCAGCAGUGAGGAAUAUUGGUCAAUGGGCGAGAGCCUGAACCAGCCAAGUCGCGUGAGGGAGUACUGCCCUAUGGGUUGUAAACCUCUUUUGUCGGGGAGCAAAAGCCGGACGUGUCCGGCUGUGAGAGUACCCGAAGAAAAAGCAUCGGCUAACUCCGUGCCAGCAGCCGCGGUAAUACCGAGGAUGCGAGCGUUAUCCGGAUUUAUUGGGUUAAAAGGGUGCGCAGGCGGAUUUUUAAGUCAGCGGUAAAAUCGUGGGGAUCAACCCCAUCCAGCCGUUGAAACUGGGGAUCUAGAGUGUGCGAGAGGUAUGCGGAAUGCGUGGUGUAGCGGUGAAAUGCAUAGAUAUCACGCAGAACCCCGAUUGCGAAGGCAGCAUACCGGUGCACAACUGACGCUCAGGCACGAAAGCGUGGGUAUCGAACAGGAUUAGAUACCCGUGUAGUC
rnacentral:rRNA from 1 species